rnacentral:rRNA from 1 species
UACGAAGGGGCUAGCGUUGUUCGGAAUUACUGGGCGUAAAGCGCACGUAGGCGGACAUUUAAGUCAGGGGUGAAAUCCCGGGGCUCAACCCCGGGAACGGCCUUUGAUACUGGGUGUCUUGAGUUCGGAAGAGGUGAGUGGAAUUGCGAGUGUAGAGGUGAAAUUCGUAGAUAUUCGCAGGAACACCAGUGGCGGAAGGCGGCUCACUGGUCCGAUACUGACGCUGAGGUGCGAAAGCGUGGGGAGCAAACAGG